UACGGAGGUGGCAAGCGUUGUUCGGAAUCACUGGGCUUAGAGAGCAUGUAGGCGGCCUGUCAAGCGUCAUGUGAAAUCCCCCGGCUCAACCGAGGAAUUGCAUGGCGAACUGGCAGGCUUGAGGCAGGCAGGGGCGCGCGGAACUCUUGGUGGAGCGGUGGAAUGCGUAGAUAUCAAGAGGAACGCCGGUGGCGAAAGCGGUGCGCUGGGCCUGUCCUGACGCUGAGAUGCGAAAGCCAGGGGAGCGAACGGGAUUAGAUACCCGCGUA
rnacentral:rRNA from 1 species